GAUGAACGCUGGCGGCGUGCCUAAUACAUGCAAGUCGAGCGAACAGAUGAGGAGCUUGCUCCUCUGACGUUAGCGGCGGACGGGUGAGUAACACGUGGAUAACCUACCUAUAAGACUGGGAUAACUUCGGGAAACCGGAGCUAAUACCGGAUAAUAUAUUGAACCGCAUGGUUCAAUAGUGAAAGACGGUUUUGCUGUCCCUUAUAGAUGGAUCCGCGCCGCAUUAGCUAGUUGGUAAGGUAACGGCUUACCAAGGCAACGAUGCGUAGCCGACCUGAGAGGGUGAGCGGCCACACUGGAACUGAGACACGGUCCAGACUCCUACGGGAGGCAGCAGUAGGGAAUCUUCCGCAAUGGGCGAAAGCCUGACGGAGCAACGCCGCGUGAGUGAUGAAGGUCUUCGGAUCGUAAAACUCUGUUAUUAGGGAAGAACAAAUGUGUAAGUAACUAUGCACGUCUUGACGGUACCUAAUCAGAAAGCCACGGCUAACUACGUG
rnacentral:rRNA from 1 species